CGUUGAAGCAGCGGUGGAGGAGGAGGAUGAGGUAGCCAACACUGUUUAUAUAUAUCUAUUUUUUAUUUUUAUUGGAGUAGCCCCCAAAAUAUUGGGACAUAUAAAAAAAGACAACUCUGUUCCACAGAGUAGCUGUUGACAUUAUAGUUGCGCAAGCACUUUGUUGACUCUAGAGAACCUCGGGCCAAUCGCACAUCCCCGUGACGGCGACUUUGCAUUCGGAUGUCAUCCAUAUCAACUUUCAAUGCCAGUUUCUGCGCCUACCAUGGUGAUCACGAGUAACGGGGAAUCAGGGUUCCAUUCUGUACAGGGACCCUGAGAAACGGCUACCACAUGCAAGGAAGGCAGCAUGCGCGCAAAUGACCCACUCCCGACGCGGGAAGGUAGUGACG
rnacentral:rRNA from 1 species